rfam:Salmo salar isolate Sally breed double haploid chromosome ssa23, whole genome shotgun sequence.
AAUGCACCAAUUUGUAGGUCGUUCUGGAUAAGAGCGUCUGCUAAAUUACGUAAA